AUUGAACGCUGGCGGCAUGCUUUACACAUGCAAGUCGAACAGUAACAGGCCUUCGGGUGCUGACGAGUGGCGAACGGGUGAGUAAUGCAUCGGAACGUGCCCAAUCGUGGGGGAUAACGUAGCGAAAGUUACGCUAAUACCGCAUAAGCCCUGAGAGGGAAAGUGGGGGACCGCAAGGCCUCACGCGAAUGGAGCGGCCGAUGUCAGAUUAGCUAGUUGGUGGGGUAAAGGCUCACCAAGGCGACGAUCUGUAGCGGGUCUGAGAGGAUGAUCCGCCACACUGGGACUGAGACACGGCCCAGACUCCUACGGGAGGCAGCAGUGGGGAAUUUUGGACAAUGGGCGCAAGCCUGAUCCAGCCAUGCCGCGUGCGGGACGAAGGCCUCGGUUGU
rnacentral:rRNA from 1 species